rnacentral:rRNA from 1 species
CCCGUCACGCUAUGGGAGUCGAUAACACCUGAAGUCGCUGAGCUAACCGCAAGGAGGCAGGCGCCGAGGGUGGGAUUGAUGACUGGAGCG